rnacentral:misc_RNA from 1 species
UGGUUCUGGCAUCGAUGAAGAACGCAGCGAAAUGCGAUAAGUAAUGUGAAUUGCAGAAUUUAGUGAAUCAUCGAAUCUUUGAACGCACAUUGCGCCCUUUGGCAUUCCGAAGGGCACAUCUGUUCGAGCGUCAUUACAAAUCUUCAAGUUUACUUGGAUUUGAAUACUUUUUUCUUUUAGAAAACAUAUUCCAAAGACCUUAGCAGUACCGUUUAGAUCUCAAACGUAUUUAUCAAAAAGCCGUUUGUCAGAUAUGAAUGUUGCUUGCUUGAUGUAUGAUUUAUCAUAACACCUUCGGUUGACCUCGAAUCAGAUGGGGAUACCCGCUGA